GGAUGUGAGGGCGAUCUGUGACAUCUGUCACCCCAUAGAAUGCCAGGGUUAAUUCGGCUGAUCUGGCUGGCUAGGUGGGUGUCCCCUCCUUCCCUCACCGCUCCAUGUGCGUCCCUGUCCCUCCCGAAGCUGCGCGCUCAGUCCAAGAGGCUGGCCUUCCCCAAAUAGAGACGGACUGGUCUUCGGUCAAGGGUAUACGAGUAGCUGUGCUCCCCUGCUAGAACCUCCAAACAAGCUCUCAAGAAGAGUUACUUAGUUCAUAGUGUAUAUGAAUCUUAAGCUUAUAGACUAUAUGACUCUUAAGUCACAAUA
ensembl:misc_RNA 7SK 7SK RNA